CAAUAAUACUGAAGUCUCUCUAUUAAGGUUUUUCAAACUGUUUUAACUCCCUCAUUGCCCUUGACUGUUUCUGUUGUCGCUUUGAUUGAAUUGUUUUGCAGUGACUGUUGUUUCCUAUUAGACCAAGUGUUUUAAAAAACUUUUGAUAUUUUUGACAAGCUUCUCUCAAAAUUCAAAUCAUAAGUGAAGUCUUUCUUUUGACCCGAAGGGAAAAAAGUUUUCUUUAAGAAUUUUCAGAGGCCCCUGGGACUACUCAAAGAAAUUUGUUCUCUCUCUUCCUAUAAAGAAAAAGGUGCUAAACUAAUUAGGCUUAUUUGGUAUAUUAAAUUACAUGGGAAGCUUUAUUAAAUAAGUGAUGAUAAACCUUUUUAGGUGGUAUUAUGUGGAUGUUAUUAAUAUAAAUGUUUUAAAAAUUAUAUAACACUCCUAAAAUUCUGAUCUGUCCUGGUUGCCAGCCAUAAUUCUAGUUACUAUCUUGAAGUGUUGUAUGUCACAGAAAUAGCCAAGUUUCUUUUUCAAUUUCCCUUCUGAGUCUUUUGUCACUUGCAGAUAGUUGCUGUUUUACUCUGAUGCUUUUGCAAAUAUGUUUCAUCUUCAGAGAGAUUCAUGGAAAAGACACUGACACUUACUCUAGAAUACAGGUUUCUGAUAAACUUUCAGAUCAUAAAACUGAACUGGGUAAGAAAUUACAGAACUCUAAAUGAGAAACUGAUGACUUCAUGAAACUGCUAACAGAAGGUUAAGAAUCUAUUACACAGGACCGAAUGAACUGAUGAGGCUUAUCCCUCCAGAAUUCGGAAACCCUUAGUGAGCCUUUGACUGGAAUGUCGUAUUUGAGAGAAACAUGCAGACUCAGAUAUGACAAGUCAGCUUUUGAAGAAUAAAGGUCGACUUUAUGGAAUAAAGCCACCUGGAAAUAUUAGCCUGGUCUCUUAGUUACAGGAUUCCAAAAUCACUGAGAACUGAACCUGCCCUUUUUCCUGAAGCCCUACAAACUGAAGCGGGACAUCUUUACAUAAAUUUUAGAGAGGGGCUGGCUUGGUUGCUCAGUGGCUAAGUGCACACAUUCCACUUCAGCAGCCCAGGCUUCGCUGGUUUGGAUCCCGGGUGUGGACGUGGCACCCCUUGAAAAGCCAUGCUAUGGUAGGCAUCCCACAUAUAAAGUAGAGGAAGAUGGGCAUGGAUGUUAGCUCAGGGCUAAUCUUCCUCAAAAAAAAAAAAAAAGGAUUCAUGUUGGUUGCUGUGUAAGCUGCUCUGAAAGAUACCUGAACACCUAAUGACAUCAUCAGAGACAUUUCAAAUUAUAAAAGAGGCCUCAACUCUAACAUCUAGAAAUUCUUUGACUGGCUGAUCCCCGGGCUCAGAAACUGGUCUAUAAUUUGCACUGACCAUUGACCUUUUUUUCCUUGUUGUUUCCCUAGAAAUGCUUCUUAUUAAAUACCUGGUUUCUUGCUUACCCAAUAUAGGCCUAAUUUUGGGAGCCCCCUCACAUCACCUUGCUAAAAGACUGGUUUAAUGAAAUGGAACAACCUACGCCCUUUAUCACUAGGCAGAAGCCCCAACAGUCAUUGGUCUAUGUCCCUUGAGAUUGAGGAAUGAACAACAAAAAGAGGGGAUUUGUAGCUGCAGGCCCUCCAGCACCAGUUCAACUGACCCUCUCUCUUAUCAACAGAGUGAUUAAGAAUUGUCUUAAUCUGCAAAGUCACAUCACCAUGGCAUGUGCAAAAGAAGAAAUCAUGUCCUGAAAUGACCUUGGAACCAACCCACAGAACCCAAGGACUGAGACAUGACCAGAACUUGAAAGUCGGACUUUUACCAGAAGUGAGGGGUCCCUCAUUCAGGAAGAUCUGGUGUUAAAAUUCCUUCCUCACCUCAUCAAAAAUGUUUAGGACUCCAUCCUAAAUGUUUAGAACCCUAUCAUAAGUGUUUAAAACCUUACCAUAAAUGCUUGAAGCCCACCAAUCAAAGCCUGUCCUACCAGUAUUUCUGUGGACCAGCCCAUGCUCCCUAACCUCUUAAAUCUUACCCCAAAUCCUGAAUCAGGAAUACAGAUCUGAGGGUACAUGCCGCCUGUCUCCCUGAAGAUUGAUUUCACAGAAUAAAAGCUGAUUCUCCCCCAAAGGCUGAUGCCAUAAUUAAUUGGCUUGUUUAUGCACAUCAGGCAGAGAACUCCAAUUUCGUGUGGUAAUGUAACCUUUCAGAUUUGUAUUUUAGAGCCUGUUAUCUCCAUGAAUUAUCCUUGUAGAAAAAGCCUGCCCCUAGAUACCUAGAGGCCUCACCUGCACUGGGCAUCCUGCCGUGAAAGCUUGGGCUGGGUCCCACUGGUCUUUCUCCAUAAAGGACUCAGGAGCCUCAACCCACACCAGGAGCCUCUACAAGAAAGCUCUCAGUCGCCACCCAGCUGGCAACUCUCGGCAACUGGUCAGUGUGGAGGGAAGGUGGGAGCUCUGUGAGCUGGAAGAAAGUGCUGUUGAGACUCAAACUAGGUCUGUGAGUUGGGGGAGCCCUGACUCCAGCUCAGAGAUAUGUGGGGUUUAGGGCAAGGGGUCCUUGGCCUUUGAGUUUUUGUGGGACUGGACAAGGGUAGGGGGUGGGGUCGGGAUAGAGAGAAAAACCAAUGGUUGAAACCUUAACCAUCAUCUUGUUUUCCUUAGAUUACAAUGACCCCACUUGGCUUCCUGCUGCUUCACAUUGUAUUCACCAACCAGGAAGCUCUUUGAACUGCAUCCUUUUGGGUUUUUAUGGAGGCUUCAUUACAUAAGGCAUGAUUGAUUAAAUCAUUGGCCAUUGGUGAUUGAUUCAACUUCCAGCCCCUUUCCUCUUCCGGGGAGGGAGGCUGGGGGACUAAAAGUUCCAAUCCUCUAAUCAAAUGGUUGAUUCCUCUGCUGACCAGUUCCCACCCUUAGGUGACCUAGGGGCAUUCCGAAAGUCACCUCAUUAACACACAAAAGACAUCUUUAUCACUUAGGAAAUUCCAGUGGUUUUAGGAGUUCUGUGCAGAAAAUGAGGACAAAGAACAAACAUAUAUUUCUUAUUAUAAAUCACAAUAUCACAAUCUUGAACCCCAAACUCCCUUUCAGUGUCUACUACCAGAUAAGCCAAUGUGAACACCAGCCCAUGUGUUAACAUACAUGUUAUAUUAUAAUUAGGUAUGAUGAGGCUAGUAGACAGAAAUGUGGGCAAUAGCUUUUAUCGUGGUUUCCAUAGGAAGGAACAGGUGAGGCAGGGUAAGCAGGCCUAGGAUUGGCUAGUUUGAAUAAUUUCAGCAGGUCCUGGAUCAUAGGGCUGUCCCUAGUUGUCUGGUACCUGAUCCUGGGUGACUAGGGCAGGUGGAUAGUGGCCUAGACUAUAAGAUCCCAAAAGACAGGUGGUUGGGGGUAUGGGCCCUGGAUUGCAUAUGAAAGGCACACUCACAACCAAGUUGCUUGCUAUCUUUAGGAAUUAGUUAACCUCCAGUCUGUCCAGUGUCAACAAG
ensembl:lncRNA